GUGAUGGAGACGUGUUCAACCCUCAGUUCCGAAGCUUUUCUAUUCCGGUUGUUUUAUAGCCUAAUAGAGUUUACCCAGGAUCCGAUCCACUCUUUGCGUCCGUGGACUACACGUCUCUGUUCUUCGUGGCCUUUCUCCGGUGGAAAUCUGUUGGCGGCUUGGAUUUUCUGACUCACCGACUACAACAUUUUGUAUACGAGAAAGGUGUUCUGGGGACCUUUUCAAAUGUCUGAAAUCGCCGUCUAUUUCUAGUGAUCAGUCUGGGAAAACUCAGGAGCCAGCUCUGAAUAAGUGUAGACGGCCUGCUGCUGCCCGCUACCGCCUUGCUAAUCAUCAGAUGAGGGGAGGAGAGGAGGUGGGAAAGGGCAGUAUGGAGUGCAAUAAAGAUUGCGUCAUCUGUGGAUCUGUUGGGGCAGCAUUUGAAUUCUGGUGGGUCCAGGGUUUCUGGGAUGAUGGUGUUGAUGUGAGCCAUUACCAGCCUUUCAAAUAAUUUAAUGGCUACAGAUGUGAGUGCUACAGGGCGAUAGUCAUUUAGACAGGUUACUUUGUCAUUCUUGGGCAUGGGGUAACUGAUUAAUAAAACUAUUAAAAUAAACUGCAUAAUA